UUUUUGUUAAAUGGUUUUUCUUAUCUGCUCAUGUGCCCCUAAUUCGAAUACAAUAAUUGCGAUAGUUCUGUGCUUACAUUGCAACAUAUCACUUGUGUCAGUAUAUCGAACAAUAAUACGGGUAAUACGAGUAACAGAUAAUAUGAACAAAGAUGAACUUGAUCCUGUAUAAACUGGUGAUAGUAUGUGUGAUAGUCGAGUGCUGCUCACAAUCACUGUUCCCUUUGGAUGAUGGAUGCACCCAACCGUAUGAUGAUACAAGCAAUCCCUACGACUGCACUCAUACGAUGUAUUGUCGUAGUUACGUAUCCUCAAUAAGCGAUUCUUCCACGGAUCGAUGUCACAAUUUUGUUUAUAACGGAAAUGGUAAUCAAGUUGACCCUAUCA